UUAGGUGCCAUGGUACAGAGCUCCUGUAGGAUAAAGACUGCUUGCCUGAGAAGCUCCUGCCUGAGCAUCCUGCUUAAAAUUGUGAUGUUCCUAGUGGAAAAGCUGGGAGCAGAAUAAGCUAGAAAAUUGUUCAGACUCAGCUUGUCUGGUGUUGGUCAUCCCAUCAUUUACUGGACAGCUCUGAGUCUCCAACGAUUUAUCAAUUGUAGCUCAGGUUUUCCUACCCCAGUGCUGAUUCCUGUGGAGGUUUCUGCUCGGCUUCAUAACCAAGAAUGAUUGAAAACAGAAGAAGGAAUUGCUGUCAAAGAUUGUACAGUACAAUGAAGUUGUACAGUGAUGUUCAGGACUAUAAAUGUUAGCAGGUACAUGAAUACUUCUGUGACUGUUGGCUAUUAGACACAAGACUGUAAAUUUCUGCCUUGAGGAUGAUUCUGAUGGUCUAUAAAAUGUCAACUGAUGUUGUCACAAAUCAGUGGUUCAUAUGAAUCUCAUAAAGAUUAUAGAACCUGCAGCACUUGUUACAUAAAUGAUAAAAGAGUAUUUCCUUUUUAAGUCUCCAGCUAGCUACAUUUCAACUGAAUGCAAAUUAGAAAGCCUAAGUGAUACCUGCAGAGUUGAAAAAUACGUUUCUCGUCUAAAUGAAAAUACAUUGAGAACUUAGAAAAACAGAAUAA